rnacentral:rRNA from 1 species
GAAAAAGAGGGAGGGAAUGUGAGGCCUAAUGCAAUGAUGAGAGAGUUUCGUAAUUGCUUAGGAGAAUGCGGUCUCAAAGAUAUGGGCUAUAUUGGUGAUCGCUUCACUUGGGGAAGAGGCGAGAUUAGGGAGAGACUUGAUCGUGGGGUUUGUAAUGUAGAGUGGGCGAACAAAUUCCCACGGGCUGCAAUCAUAAAUGAAGAACAUGUCCAUUCUGAUCAUCAACCCCUUGUCUUGGAUAUGGAAUAUUAUGAUGGUAACAUUUUUAAUCAAUCUGGAAGACGAGUAAAACAGUUUGAAGCUCGUUGGCUCAUAGAAGAGAAAGUGGUAGAAAUUGUACGUACAACAUGGGAAAAAGCGAAGAUGUUAGGCAUCGGACCGUCUCUCGCUGAGCGUACUAGGGCGGUGCAUGCGGAUUUGCAUAUCUGGAAUGGUGAUAUACUAAGAGGGCCGAAAAAUAGAAUAAAAACUAAAAAAAAUAGAAGAAUUGCGAAGGGGCCCUGUAUGCGGAAACUCAAGUGCGACAAAAGGAGACCCUAG